AGUGAAUAGAUACCCAGGUAGUCCACGCCCUAAACUAUGAACACUAGGUGUUGAAGGUCUCGACCCCUUCAGUGCCGAAAGCUAAACGCAUUAAGUGUUCCGCCUGGGUAGUACGAUCGCAAGAUUAAAACUCAAAGGAAUAGACGGGGACCCACACAAGCGGUGGAGCAUCUGGUUUAAUUCGAUAGUAACCGAAGAACCUCACCAGGGUUUGACAUGUAGGGAAGUUUGCCGAAAGGUGAAUGUGCCGUAAGGAACCCUAACACAGGUGCUGCAUGGUUGUCGUCAGCUCGUGCCUUGAGGUGUACGGUUAAGUCCGUAAACGAGCGCAACCCUUGUCCUAAGUUGCAUUUUUCUUAGGAGACUGCCGGCUCCAAGUCGGAGGAAGGUAAGGAUGACGUCAAAUCAGCAUGGCCUUUAUACCCUGGGCUACACAGGUGCUACAAUGGCGAGUACAAUGGGCUGCGAGAAAGCAAUUUCAAGCUAAUCCCAAAAACUCGUCUCAGUUCGAAUUGAGGGCUGCAACU
rnacentral:rRNA from 1 species